UCCGGUGGUUAUUUCGAUGGGGCCACACCCGUUCUCAUCCCGAACACGGAAGUUAAGCCCAUCAGAGCCGAUGGUACUUGGACCGCAGGGUUCUGGUAGAGUAGGUCGCCGCCGGAU
rnacentral:rRNA from 1 species